CCCCUCAAGAUGAGAUUUCCCAACUUCGGUUAUAAGAUCUCUCAAAGAUGAUGAGGUUAAUAGGUUCGAGGUGGAAGCAUGGUGACAUGUGGAGCUGACGAAUACUAAUCGAUCGAAGACUUAAUCAAAA
rnacentral:rRNA from 1 species